UACGUAGGAGACGAGCGUUGUCCGGAAUCACUGGGCGUAAAGCGCGUGUAGGCGGAUCGGCAAGUCUGCUGUGAAAGCUCCUGGCUUAACCGGGAGUGGUCGGUGGAAACUGCCAGUCUGGAGGACGGUAGAGGUAGGUAGAAUUCCCGGUGUAGUGGUGAAAUGCGUAGAGAUCGGGAGGAAUACCUGUGGCGAAGGCGGGUCUCUGGGCCAUUACUGACGCUGAGGAGCGAAAGCGUGGGGAGCGAACAGG
rnacentral:rRNA from 1 species